UGAGGAAUAUUGGACAAUGGAUGGAAAUCUGAUCCAGCCAUGCCGCGUGCAGGAAGACGGCCCUAUGGGUUGUAAACUGCUUUUGUAUGGGAGCAAUAAGGACUACGUGUAGUUUGAUGAGAGUAGCAUACGAAUAAGCAUCGGCUAACUCCGUGCCAGCAGCCGCGGUAAUACGGAGGAUGCGAGCGUUAUCCGGAUUUAUUGGGUUUAAAGGGUGCGUAGGCGGCGAUAUAAGUCAGUGGUGAAAUAUUUCGGCUUAACCGAGAGACUGCCACUGAUACUGUGUUGCUAGAAUAUGGUUGCUGUGAGUGGAAUGUGUGGUGUCGCGGUGAAAUGCUUAGAUAUCACGAGGAACUCCGAUUGCGCAGGCAGCUUACUAAGCCACAACUGACGCUCAUGCACGAAGGCGUGGGGAUCAAACA
rnacentral:rRNA from 1 species